AUCUCAUUCUUUCCCCCCUCCAGGCAAUGAGGACCAUUUACAAGGUCCUUUUCCUAUGGGGAUACCGAGAAGCCAUCCUGGAAAUGUAUCCCCAGAUGCUCAUCCUCUACGUCAGGCAAGUGCAGUAUGUGAUGGAUCUGCGCUUGCCAGGGACCUACAGGGCCAGCGAGACAUCCAGCCCUGAGGAGGGAUCCAGCUGCCUCAGCCCCCUAAGCAUGUCAGUGGAGGCUGUGAAGACUCUUUUUUCCAUGCCCGGAUACUGGAAGGAAUUUGCCGGCAUCCAGUUACAGCAGGGUUGGGACAUGAUAUCCUCCUGAUAUUACUACUCGCAGGGUGUUGGCCUGAUUGCAAGAGCCAUGAUCGAGUUUGAGAACCCUCAGCUCCCUGCAGUUUUCAGAGAGGCCGUCACCAUUGUCCAGAGUGAGAAGGAGGAUGAGCA
rnacentral:lncRNA from 1 species